rnacentral:rRNA from 1 species
AUUGAACGCUGGCGGAAUGCUUUACACAUGCAAGUCGAGCGGCAGCACGGGGGCAACCCUGGUGGCGAGCGGCGAACGGGUGAGUAACACAUCGGAACAUGCCCAGUCGUGGGGGAUAACACUUCGAAAGAAGUGCUAAUACCGCAUACGUCCUGAGGGAGAAAGCGGGGGAUCGCAAGACCUCGCGCGAUUGGAGUGGCCGAUGUCAGAUUAGCUAGUUGGUGGGGUAAAGGCCUACCAAGGCAACGAUCUGUAGCUGGUCUGAGAGGAUGAUCAGCCACACUGGGACUGAGACACGGCCCAGACUCCUACGGGAGGCAGCAGUGGGGAAUUUUGGACAAUGGGGGCAACACUGAUCCAGCCAUGCCGCGUGAGUGAAGAAGGCCUUCGGGUUGUAAAGCUCUUUCGGGAGGAAAGAAACGGUGAGCUCUAACAUAGCUUGUUAAUGACGGUACCUGAAGAAGAAGCACCGGCUAACUACGUG